rnacentral:lncRNA from 1 species
CGCUCAGGAUGGCAGACUGAAAGAGUGUGAGCUCCUGCCGUCUGGAGUCCCAGGCUCCAGAUCAGCAGUUUUCUGUACAAGGGGUGCUUAUUCGUUUUGGCGUUUGAGUGUGGAGCAAACCCACAAGGCUCAAGCUCUGCUUGUGGAUGAAAAGCACGUGGUUAGUGGUCUGACGUAGGGCUCUGGGGAUGGAGGGCCAGACUUCGAGAUGGAGGCAAGGAAGGGAGGCUUCUCCUUCUCCUACUGGAGGCCUUGAAGAGAACUGGACAGAAGUGAGAAAGCAGGCUCAGGACCGAGAAGUGUUGUCACAUCCCAGGUGGGGAUUUGUUUUCAAAUGUUUUAGUUAUUCAUUUGAGAGAAAGAAUGAGCAGAGGAGGGGCAGAGACAGAAGGAGAAGCAGACUCCCCGCUGAGCAGGGAGCCCGACACAGGGCUCCAUCCCAGGACCCUGAGAUCAUGACCUGAGCUGAAGGCAGAUGCUUCACAGACAGCCACCCAGGCGCCCCCAGUUGGAGAAGUUUUGUUUAUGGUCUGAUCCUUUUAAUAACUAUAAAUAAAUGAUGUAUCUUGAAGUAUUCCUUUACAGAACUGUAUUAUCUGCCCAUAACCAUGGCAAACUCCUCCACGUAUUACUUAUUGGAUUGCUAUGAUAUCCUUAGGAGACACAUGCUUAUCUCUUAAUUUUACAGAGGAGUUUACUGAGGCUUUGAGAGUGAAGUGCCUUAAAAUCCCAGUGAGCUUGGAUUGGAACCCGGCUCCACCUAUCUGCAGAGCCCUGGAGCUCAAGCAAGCUACACGCUGCUCUGUCUUUUGCAGACAGCUUAUUCAGCUUGAAGAAUACUGAGAGAAUAAACUGUAAACUCUAGAAUUUCAUCCCUACAUCUAAGAAUAACUGGAUUAUCUUCAUGCCUUCUUGCCAUCCACCAGACACAUAGGUUGUCAUGGACUGAAUGUCUGUGGCCUCUGAAAAUUCAUAUGCUGAAGCCCUAACCCCUCUGUGAUGGUACUUGGAAGUGGGGCCUUGGGGAGAUAACUAGCUACGGAUGAGUUCACAAGGGCGGAGCCCCACAAUAGAAUUAGUGUCCUUAGGAGAAGAAGAGACACCAAAGCUUCCCCUCUCUGCCAUGUGAGGACACAGCAAGAGGACAGCCAUCUCCAAGCCAGGAGGAGGGCUCCCACCAGGAACCAAACCAUCCUGAUCUUGGACUUCGUAGGCUCCACAGCUAUGAGAAAUUAAGUCCUGUGGCUUAAACCACACUAUUCUGUGAUGGCAGUUCGAGGUAAAGGAUAAGUUCAUUUAUUGGUCUCAUGAACACAGCUUCAUUGUUUUUGAAAAAGAAUUGUAAAAAAUUUAAGCAGC